AAUCAGUUGUUCCUUUUAGAAACCUUUUGCUAAGUCUUAGCUAAAACACUCGAACGCACCGUCUCGGGGAGGUCAAGAAUAGACUACACCUCCAGUCCUGACAGACUGAAAUUUUCUAGGCCUUUUCCAAGUAGCUACAGCGAUGAUCUCAUUUCGGAACAAUGUGAAGUUAUACACCCUAUCCUGAGCCUGUUUUCCCAUCCUAGAUAAGUGUUAACUUUCACCGUUAGCUCACAUUAUUUCCUGAUGAUGCCUACGUGUACUCCACACCUGUGAUGUUGGUGCACGUGCACGGCCUCACCUUCACAACGGCGAAAUGGUUCAAACAAGUAGCCUACCUGGCAGACUAAGUUUUGGUCUCAUCACAUAGGUGAUUCUCAUGAAACUUCGCAGACUGCUGACAAGAGCAAGAGGCGGGGCGCUCCUCCACACGGGACGGGGGGGUGUGUCGAAAACCCAGACCCCCUCACGAUUCGGUGUAGACCGAGGAGAUCUGACUCAGGCAGCGGUCAAAGCCGCCCACCUGGAAGAAGACGUUCUCCUCAGGGCUGGGGGAGAAGCCCUGGCCGCCCACCGCCUGGAUGUCCUGGACCAAGCUGAACCCUGCGAAGCACCACAACUCAAUCAGAAAGAACGCUUGAAGACACCGAUAGCAAAGCAAACCUGGGUCUUUUAAAAAUUCCUAUGACUUAUGAGUGGGUUGUUUUUUUUCUUGUUGAAACUCUGUGUGGUUACCGGUUAAAACCUGGGCAACAUUUUAGCCCCCGGGCCACAAGUAGGUACCCUGGAGUUACAAGUUCAACCUCCAGGCUACAGGUCAUUCACACACUGGGGUGCGCCGUACAGGGGUGGUGGGCGGGGGUGGGGGUUACCAUGAUUCCAAGGGUCCUGACUAAUAGGGACCCUCAAAAAAAACAUUAGAACAUAGGAUUUUAUGGGGUGGUGUAAGAUGUUUUCAUGGGGCCCAAAAUCCCUGGUGGUGAACUGUCUGGUUCACACAGACAGAUUUUUCCUAGUAUUAUUCAUCUAAUCUAAUUUUUAAGUCUUAAACCAGUAUGUGGCUGAGCACAGUUCAAUAUUAUGGCUACAGACUAUCCUCCACAGCUAUAGAUUGCCCUGGCAGAAAUGACACACUGUAGCUACAGGUCAGAGGCCUGGUUGCAGUGUUCUUCUUCUGUGGUAUCACUCUUGUUCUUCUAACACUCCCACAGCGAGCUCUGGCCAAGUGCUGGACAUCCACGCUGGAUAAGAGCUAGCUUCUCUCCCAGCACAACCCUUUUUUCCCGUUCCCAUCUCUUCCACUUGGGGAUGCGAAACUAUGACAAGCAUGCUUUCACCUCAUCACUUCCAGAGCUAGGCUUGAAACGCGAUGCUGACACGAGCUCACAAAGUGGAGUGAAAAGCCUCUGGAACUCUCCAGAUCUCCCCAGCACGACAUGCAAAGGAUGAUGGAAGGUCGAUACGAAACACGGAGGAGAGAAAAAAAAUCUUGGCAAGGACGCUCAAAAGGAGGACUUAAGCUGAAGCGGGCCUGACAUUCGCUAUAAAAGACAUAAAUAAAAGAGCUCGGUCAUUAUAUCAUGCAUCUGGUCUGAAAAAGUCAUUGAAAAUCCUUUAUGUAAAAACUGCUGCGCUUAGCUAAACACUUGUGCCGCUGGUGGAUAGCAGCAGUAAGUAAAAAAAAAUGUUGUACACCACUGCCAAAAUCUCACAUGCUUACAAUGUCAAAAUACCUGCAUGGUAUUUUUAAUUUUAAACUCUUUACGAAUGCUUUUGAAUUUUAAAAAUAAAUAUAUUUUGUCGUUAUGAA